AAGUCGUAACAAGGUUUCCGUAGGUGAACCUGCGGAAGGAUCAUUAAUGCUUUUUUUUUGUUUCUUUGUUCUCUUCAAACGAGAUGCAAAAGUGAACUCUUUCUUUUCUUCCAUAGCAAAAAGAAAAACAAAGAAGAAAAACCAAACCAAGAAGAAGAAGAAACAGCAAAACAAUGAGCAAUGUUUUUUUUUCAUUGUUCUUGUUUGUUUGCUUUCUUUCUUUCUUUUUUUGUUUCUUUUCUUUCUCUUGUUUUCUUUUUUCUUUUUUUUUUCAACUCCAACAACAACAAAGAAAAACCAAAAUUGACAUACCAAAAACCAAAACUAAAUAACAAAAUAACAACUCUUAACAAUGGAUAUCUUGGCUCUC
rnacentral:misc_RNA from 1 species